rnacentral:rRNA from 1 species
AUUGAACGCUGGCGGCAGGCCUAACACAUGCAAGUCGAGCGGGGUUUUCGGACCUAGCGGCGGACGGGUGAGUAAUGCGUAGGAAGCUGCCCGAUAGAGGGGGAUACCAGUUGGAAACGACUGUUAAUACCGCAUAAUGUCUACGGACCAAAGUGUGGGACCUUCGGGCCACAUGCUAUCGGAUGAGCCUACGUGGGGUUAGCUAGUUGGUGAGGUAAUGGCUCACCAAGGCGACGAUCUCUAGCUGGUUUGAGAGGAUGAUCAGCCACACUGGAACUGAGAAACGGUCCAGACUCCUACGGGAGGCAGCAGUGGGGAAUAUUGGACAAUGGGCGCAAGCCUGAUCCAGCCAUGCCGCGUGUGUGAAGAAGGCCUUCGGGUUGUAAAGCACUUUCAGCGAGGAGGAAGGGGUGUGUGUUAAUAGUACACACCUUUGACGUUACUCGCAGAAGAAGCACCGGCUAACUCUGUGCCAGCCGCCGCGGUAAUAC